rnacentral:tRNA from 2 species
GGACCAUUGGCCCAAUGGAAAGGCGUCUGACUACGAAUCAGGAGAUUGCAGGUUCGAGCCCUGCAUGGUUCA